rnacentral:rRNA from 1 species
AUGAAGACCAGAAGAGAUAAACUGAAGAAAGAUGUUCUCUUAUUGUUUAAGACUUGCACCAACAAUUUAGAUAGAAUGACACUGGUGGAUGUAGUCCAACGCCUAGGAAUAGAACACCUGUUUGAAGAACAGACGGCUACUGCACUAACUGACAUCCAUCGAAGUGAAUUCAACAGCUCUAAUCUCCAUGAUGUAUCUCUUCGGUUCCGCCUUCUUCGGGAACAUGGACUUUGGGUAUCUCCAGGUAUUCAUAUUCAUAUAUAA